rnacentral:rRNA from 1 species
ACACAAUAAGUAAUCCACCUGGGGAGUACGACCGCAAGGUUGAAACUCAAAGGAAUUGACGGGGGCCCGCACAAGCAGUGGAGUAUGUGGUUUAAUUCGAAGCAACGCGAAGAACCUUACCAGGUCUUGACAUCCAACUAACGAAGCAGAGAUGCAUCAGGUGCCCUUCGGGGAAAGUUGAGACAGGUGGUGCAUGGUUGUCGUCAGCUCGUGUCGUGAGAUGUUGGGUUAAGUCCCGCAACGAGCGCAACCCUUAUCAUUAGUUGCUACGCAAGAGCACUCUAGUGAGACUGCCGUUGACAAAACGGAGGAGGGUGGGGAUGACGUCAAAUCAUCAUGCCCCUUAUGACCUGGGCUACACACGUACUACAAUGGCGAUUAACAGAGGGAAGCAAGACAGUGAUGUGGAGCAAAACCCCAAAAAUCGUCUCA